UGGCCCGUCUGGCGCCCGCGCCCGCGUCGGCUGGGCGGACCCAGGAACUUCCGGCCGCCGGGAGCCCAGAUGGCGCGGGGCUGAGGGUGCGGGGCCUGGGCAGAUCCAUUCGAGGGGUGCAGUGGGGGCGACUGGGUGAUCUUGGAUCCCCUUGAGCUGCGGCGUGGGGCGUCAGUGAGGAGCAGGGGGAGAGCCCUGAACUGUGGGAUAAACUCCAGGAGGGCAUGAUUUGUGUCUGUUCUGUGCUCUGCUAUAUCCUCAAUGCCUGUAGAAGCUCUGUCCAAUGGAAAUAGAGUGCGAUCCAUGAAUGCAACUACUGUGUAAAUCAAGGGAAGACCAAGUUUCGCUUUGCUCAGAGCUUUAGCAAGGACUUAUCACGGUUUUGGAAAAUCACACCUGUGAUGGCAACAUGACUCAUGAUAGAGAAAGAAGAAAUUCACCCAGAUACCUGCUGGCAAAUCUAAUUGUUUGAGGAUUUUGCUUGACCAUGGGAUGAGUCCCCAUACGACACGCCUGGAUCCGUCUGCAUUUGUUGAUGUUGCGGUCG